rnacentral:rRNA from 1 species
UACGGAGGGUGCAAGCGUUAAUCGGAAUUACUGGGCGUAAAGCGCACGCAGGCGGUUUGUUAAGUCAGAUGUGAAAUCCCCGAGCUCAACUUGGGAACUGCAUUUGAAACUGGCAAGCUAAAGUCUUGUAGAGGGGGGUAGAAUUCCAGGUGUAGCGGUGAAAUGCGUAGAGAUCUGGAGGAAUACCGGUGGCGAAGGCGGCCCCCUGGACAAAGACUGACGCUCAGGUGCGAAAGCGUGGGGAGCAAACAGG